CGGAAGCCUUUGAGGGAACUUCCGGCCAAGCGUGGGAACGCUGCGAACUUCCUGGAGGCAAAAUUUGAGGGGGCUGAGCAGAGAGUGGUUAGUGCGGAGCGGGCCUGGGAGACCUUGGGCGCCUCCUCUGAAAGCUGCUUUGCACGUGCCUGGGUGGUGGGUGAUGCGUUGGGCCGGAAGUAAAGACAGAGUUUCAGAGGUCUCAAACUCCUGAUCUCAGGUGAUCUGCCUGCCUCUGCCUCCGAAAGUGCUGGGAUUACAGGCAUGAGCCACUGUGCCUGGCCUAAAAUGACAUUUAAUACAAGCAUAAGAUAAUUAUUGAGUUGAAGAACUUUGAUAAAAUAAUCAGGUAUGUCACACUUUAUUCUUUUUAUGUUUGUUUUAUUUAAUGCUCAUAGCCAUCCUGAGAAUUGUUUUAUUUGUCAUUUGCAGAUAAGGAGAUGAACUCCGAGAAGAUAAAUGAUUUGCCAAAAGUCACAUGAGACAGAAAUGUAACCUGAAAUCAAAUUUGCAAUUUUCAGUUCCUGAUGUUUUUACACUAUGCUCCCAAAGUGAAUCUGUGGACAUACAUUUCCAGUACCCUCCAAAAUGAUUGUUUUAAAAUGAAAAUUAAGAUUCAGAAGAAGAGCCAGCAGUACUUUCAACAAAUGACUUAUAAAUUUGAGAGUUCAAAAACCUUGGAAAAGAAUCUCUGUGCAUUAAAGUAUAUAUCUGAAGUUGGGCAUCUUCAUACAUGUGAGGAUUAGGAUCCAACAGAUUUCUAUUGAUCACCUCUCUAACUCGAGAAUCAAGACUGACCUAAAAAGAAACAAGAGCAAAUACAUUAAAUAAUAUUUUUUUCAAAAGACCUCUAUUAAGUAACUAUAGGUUUGUGAUAUUUUACAGAAACUUUAAAGAGUAAAUCUAACUACCAAAAGUCUUGAGUUCAUUUUUUCAGACUACAUAACCUUAUGUACUUUUCUCUAUCAAAAUUUGCAUUAAAUAAACAAACAAAAAAACAGUUCUUUUAAACCAGAAACUUAGUUUACAGAUAGCUUAGCUUACUUGGAUUUAUGGUUUUAUGCAUUCAUUCAGGAGUUUUUAACAAUUUCUAAUCAUGGUUGAAAUACCAGAAAUUUCCUAACCAGAAUAUGAAUUCACCUUCUCCUAUUCUGUGGUUGGCAGAGGUUGGCAAUAUUGAUAAAAAGAUAAAAAUCUACUGACAGAAAGGAGUUCCAUGGCAAAAAUUGACAGGCAUAUAAAAUGCCAAUUCCCAAUAGUUUAAUAUCCCAACAAGUCCUACUGUGUCAAAAGUAGGAAACCAAGAAUGUGGCAGGGCAUGCAGUGAGCAGGUAUGCUUCAUGUCUUACGUCUACCUGGCAGGGACUAGCAAACAUCCUUAUACAUCCAAACACCUCUACUAAUGAUGAGGCAGAUCAAUUGCUUGGAGUGAAAUCUUUGAGAGGAGAAACAGAAAUAGGAAUGCCGAAUAACCAUUAAAAUCAAUACAGUGUUAUUUGAAAAGUGUACAGAAAUUAAGUUCUGCAGCGAUUUAGGAUGUUUCCCCUUCCUCACUAAAUGCAAAUCCUCUUGGAACUGGUAAAACAUGUUGGAAAGGGAAAUGGGGAAAAAUACUUGGCAGUAAGGGCAUGGUUGUAGGAACAGAACUAAAGCCCUGCCCUGAAAUACCAUAUUAGAACAAACCCCAAAGUGGCAAACGACCACUCAGAGUCCAGAUUGUUUUCCUCAAUCCUCACUAUUUAGCAAGGAAUAGGACCUGUGAUCCAUAGUGUUAUUUCAUGAUAUAUUCAGAUACAAACCUUCCAUAUUUAUAUUUAAACAUGUUGUCAUAAGCAUUCUGCAAAUGCCUUUUAGUUCUGGCUUCUUUUCCCAUCACUGUUUGGACUAAGUCUGAGAACGAAUUCAAUCUCUUAUUGAAGCUCCUCAUAUUCCAUCCAGUGUCCCCAAAUUCCUGAGCUCUACAGACCAAAUUGGGUUGAUUGCUACACCCAGUGAUGGCUACUAGAUUUGUUAGAUGGUAAUCCAGACUACAUUUCUGUGGCUUAGCCAAACCAACUGAUACAGGGACACCUCAUUUUACUGCACUUCCCUUUACUGUUUUUCACAGAUCCUGUGUUUGUUACAAAUUGAAGGCUUGUGAUGAUCCUUGUCAAGCAAGUUGACUGGCACCAUUUUUCCAAUAGCAUGUGCUUACUUUGUGUCUCUGUGUCACAUUUAUUAGUACUCACAAUAUUUCAAAAUUUUCAUCAUUAUUAUAUAUUUAAAGGUGAUCUGUGAUCAGUGAUCUUUGAUGUUACUCUUGUAAUUGUUUUAGGAGGCCAUGAACCAUGCCCGUAUAAGACUUAAUCAAUUCUUAAUGAUGACUAUGGUGUGUAUACUGACUGUUCCACUGACCUGCCAUCCCCACAUCUUUCUCCCUCUCCUCAGACCUCCCUAUUUCCCAAGAGACAACAGUAUUGAAAUUAGGCCAAUUAAUAACCUGCCAGUGGCCUCUAAGUGUUUAAGUGAAAGGAAGAUUCACACAUCUCUCUCAUUAAAGAAGCCAGAAAUGGUUAAACUUAGUGAGAAAGGCAUGUUAAAAGCUGAGACUGGCCAAAAACUACGCCUCUUUUGAAAGUUAGCCAAGUUGUGAAUGCAAAGGAAAUGUUCUCAAAAUUAAAAGUGCUACUCCAGCGAACACGUGAAUAAGAAAACAAAACAGCCUGUUGCUGAAACGCAAAAAGUCUGAGUGGUCUGGACAGAAGAUCAAACAUUCCCUUAAACCAAAGCCUAAUCCAGAGCAAAGUCCUAACUCUCUUCAAUUCUGUGAAGACUGAGAGAGGUAAGGAAGCUGUGUAAGAAAAGUUUGAAGCUCGCAGAGGUUGGUUCAUGAGGUUUAGGGAAAGAAGUCAUCUCCAUAACACAAAAAGCUCAAGGUGAAGCAGGAAAUGGCUGAUGUAGAAGCUGAAGUAAUUUAUUCAGAAGAUCUAGCUAAGAUAAUUGAUGGAGGUGGCUACACUAAACAACAGGUUUUCAAUAUAGACAGCCUUAUAUUGGAAGAAGAUGCUAUCUAGGACUUUCAAAGCUAGUGAGAGGUCAAUGCCUGAUAUCAAAGAUUCAAGGACAGGCUCACUCUGUUGUGAAGGACUAAUAUAGCUGGUAACUUUCAAUGGAAAUGAAUGCUUAUUUACCAUUCUGAAAAUCCUGGGGCCCUUAAGAAUUAUGCUAAAUCUACUCUGCCUGGGAACUAUAAGUGGAACUGAGGAAGGAGACCCAGGCGUCUGGGAUCAACUUCCCUUUUGACUGCCACACUGCAUUGCAAUAGAAGAAAAGGCUGAUCGACUGGCGCCUCCUGAUUCACCUUCCUGUAGGUGGCAGGCUUGGUCUUGGGGAAACUCUGGAAGACACUGUUUUUACUUAAAACAAGAUCAAACCCGAAACCUUUUCACAUGUGAGCCCUAAAACAAUAAACCGAAACCCUUUCAUAUGUGAUUCCUGAAGCUGUAAACCGAAACCCUUUCAUAUAUGAUUCCUGAAGCUGUAAACCGAAUCCCUUUUCAUAUGUGAUUUCUAAGGCUGUAAACCUAAGAUUCUUCCACAUGUAAUAUAUAAAGUAUAAGCCUAUAUAAAGGCAGAACCUUCCUUUGUUAGAUGAGCUGAAUUUGGACAAAUUAUCCCUCAGCUCCUGGCUGUAAUAAAGACCUCUUCCUUCUCCAUUCGGUGUUCAGGAGCUCUGUUUCUCGUGGCCGCUCCUGCUACAGAACAACAAAGCCUAGAUGACAGCACAUCUGUUUAAAGCAUGGCUUACUGGAUAUUUUAAGCCCACUGUUGAGCCCUACUGCUCCAAUAAAAAAAAGAUUCCUUUUCAAGUUUUACUGCUCAUUGACAAUGCUCCUGACAAUGCUCAUUGACAAUCAUCCAAGAGCUUUGAUGAAGAGGUACGAGGAAAUUAGUAUUGUUUUCACGCCUGCUAACACAACAUCCAUUCUGCAGCCCAUGGAUCAAGAAGUAAUUUCAAUUUACAAUAUUAUUUAAGAAAUCCAUUUCAUAAGACUACUGCUGCCAUGGAUAGUGAUUCCUUUGAUGGAUCUAGGCAAAGCAAAUAAAAAACCUUCUGGAAAUAAUUCACCAUUGUUUUCAUUAAGUACAUUUGUGAUUCAUCGAAGUAGGUCAAAAUAUCAACAGGAAUUUAG